AUUGAACGCUGGCGGCAGGCCUAACACAUGCAAGUCGCACGAGUGGCGGACGGGUGAGUAAUGUCUGGGAAACUGCCCGAUGGAGGGGGAUAACUACUGGAAACGGUAGCUAAUACCGCAUACCAUCGGAUGUGCCCAGAUGGGAUUAGCUUGUAGGUGAGGUAACGGCUCACCUAGGCGACGAUCCCUAGCUGGUCUGAGAGGAUGACCAGCAAGACUGGAAAUGAGACACGGUGCAGACGGCGAGGGGAGCGAGGAGUGGGGAAUAUGGCACAAUGGGCGCAAGGCUGAUGCAGCCAUGCGGCGUGUAUGAAGAAGGCGGUCGGGUUGUAAAGUACUGGCAGCGGGGAGGCGUUACCCGCAGAAGAAGCACAGGCGAACUCCGGGCCAGCCGCCGCUGUAAUAC
rnacentral:rRNA from 1 species